rnacentral:rRNA from 1 species
UCCAGAGGGGGCAAGCGUUAUUCGGAAUUAUUGGGCGUAAAGGGCGCGUAGGCGGCUUGGCAAGUGGAAGGUGAAAUCCCUCGGCUUAACCGAGGAACUGCCCUCCAAACUGCUUCGCUUGAGACCGGGAGAGGUGAGUGGAAUUCCCAGUGUAGCGGUGAAAUGCGUAGAUAUUGGGAGGAACACCAGUGGCGAAGGCGGCUCACUGGACCGGUACUGACGCUGAUGCGCGAAAGCGUGGGGAGCAAACGGG